UUUUUUUCUCCUAUUGUUGUUUCUCCUAGUUAGAUGAUAAAUAAUUAUUUUACUUUCUGUUCCGAGACCUAUAUAUCGGCAACAUUGGCUCCAUGAAUGUUGUGGAGAGAGUACCCAAUUGAAUAGCUAUCUUCUUCAUAAAAUCAACAAACCUGGCAUUUUUAGCUUCGUCUUUUGCCCUUUUAAGUUUUUCAGCACCAGGUAUAUACCUUAAAGGUAUAUGGAGGAAAGAGAAAGAUAAUACAAGUCGCUGAAGAGAAUGAAAGACAAGAGGAGUUCGAUAUAUUUUGGGGCUAGAAGCGGGCCUAAUAUUGGAAUUAGGAAAAAAUAUAAGGUAUAAAGGGUAAAUUUUGCUAUUACGGUUUUGUUGAUAUUCACCAGAUGAAGCAUUGUGCUGCUUUUGUGUGUUUCUUGAAGACUUUGUUUUCACUGGAUUAGAUGUUAAUUUAUUCAUUCUACUCUAUUGUUUAGUUUGUUGUACUUUGAUAAAAGUAGCGAAAGUUGAAAAAGAAAGCAAUAUCCCAAAUUGGUAUA